ensembl:snoRNA
UUUCCCAUUUGACUACCGCAUUUUCUGCUAGUAGAUUUUAGUGGCUAUGCUUAUGGGGUAGAUGAAAAGUGCCGUGAUCUGAGAGGGAGGACUUUUCGAUGUCUUCCCCCUAUAUGAGAUGGCUGAACAGGAAAAA